AACGUAGGACGCAAGCGUUAUCCGGAGUUACUGGGCGUAAAGCGCGUGUAGGCGGCAGCGUGUGUCGGGCGUGAAAUCCCACGGCUCAACCGUGGAAGUGCACCCGAAACUGCGCAGCUAGAGUCCUGGAGAGGAAGGUGGAAUACUUGGUGUAGAGGUGAAAUUCGUAGAUAUUCGGAAGAACACCAGUGGCGAAGGCGGCUCACUGGCCCGGUACUGACGCUGAGGUGCGAAAGCGUGGGGAGCAAACAGG
rnacentral:rRNA from 1 species